GCGGCGGACUACAGGUCCCGGCAGGCCUCGCGGCUCCGCGGCGGGGGAGGCGGGAGCGCGGCGCGGCCGAGUUCCCCCGCCGGAAGCGGUGUCCCGCGCGCGGUGCACGCUGGGAUGGGUAGUUCGGCGGCAGCGGCUGGCGCGUGCGGCGGGGUACCAUUUUGCCCUGGCGCGGGCGGCGCCCGGCGAGGCGCUGCCUGGCCUGCGCCAUUUUGAUGGGUAGCCGGCCCGGCCGGAGGGACGCGGUGGGGACACGGGCCGUGUCGGGUGCCUUCGGGGGCUGGUGAAACGAAUGCUGCCCGCCAGUGACGCCAGCUCUUAAUUGCUGAGGCUGGGAGCAGCCCCUUGCCAGGGCGAUGCAGCCUUCCGCUUCGCUCGGUCCUCGUUUGAAUUGGUGCUUGGAACGCUGGCCCGUGCUGGUGAAUGAAGUCGAUCACGACUAAACAUCGCGAUGAGAACGAGGGGAUUUGGUGAGAGGUAUGAUGGAGAGGAGGUUUUCAGUGGUGUCCAAUACAUUGUACAGAAGCAUUAAGCCCUUCAUGGAAGCACCAUCAGAAGUAGAAGAAUACUUGGUAUACACAAGCGGAUUUUCCUGAAAGCUGUAAUGGCAUGAACAGUUUCUAACAAUGGGAAUGUCAGGUGUCCUGGUGAAAGAUUUCCUGGCAGCUGUAGUACAACAGAUAGAGAGAUGCUUGAGUGCUGCUUCUCAGCUGAAGGAAAAUGGUCAAAAAUGUAGGAACAAAUACUUUUAGCUUAUUCAGUGAUGAGUUGGAAUGCUUUGUCAGUGCUGCCAGACAAAUGUGGAUGAUCUGUAACUGGAAGGAAGCGUAACACCUGAAGAGUUUUUGUGGCUUGGAGUGGGAUGCCAUGCUUUUAAAAACCUGCUAAGGCAGCUGCUGCAGUUUUGUUGAGCGGAUACUGUUUUCAGAAACUGCAUGUGAACCAAAAUCACUGUCUCAGUGUAUUUAAAAUAGACCUUUUCCCAAAACACUGAGCUGCCCUCUGUAGGAAGGGUAGCAGCAAUAUUAGAGAAAUGAGUGUUGAGCUUCAAUACAUGGAAAAACCCCUGAGAGUAUUUGCCCUUUUAAAAUAUCAUAAGGGUAUAUAGACUUGCUGAUACUGAACAUCUGUAAUAACUCAAAACAACAGAACUCACGGGUAGGCCCUGUAAAGAUGGGGAGAAAGCAAAAUGGGUACACAAAUUCAAACCAAUGAGUCAGGUUUUUGAGGGUGGUGUCAUCCAGGAGAUGGAAGUAGAUGAGGUUGUGGUGGUACAGAAGCAUAAAUGUGAAACACUUGUAAGAAAGAAAUUCAAGUGUCAUGAGGAGAGUCAUGGUUACAGAAAAGGCAAGGUCUAAAGGUUGCAUUGCUGUGUGUAUCUAGUGAGGGGAGAGAGGAACUGGGCUUUUAUGGACUGCCACUUCAGCAUGAAAAGACCAGCAUGAAAAGACCAGUACCACAACAGUGGAACUGCCCUUUGAGGUGUAUGCUGGCAAUGUUACCUGCUUGCUGUGAGGGGAAAGAGGUCAGUAGUGGGAGACGGGAGUACACACGUUGGAACUUGUGCUUUGAGGAUUCACUUGAAAACUAAUGGUCCUGUAUCGUAGUAACAGGCGUAUUUGCUGUAUUCAGCAAAUUCACACUCUUCCACAGAGGAAUGAAGGAUCAUAAAUUGGUCACCGAUUAAGUUGGAUUUUAAAGACAAAUCAUUAUGUACAUAAGGUGCAGUCUGCUUUAAAGCAUGACUCUCAAACCUAAUUGUCAGGAAUGGUUUAUGAAGGAAGAAACAGAAUGGCAUGAUACCUAAAAGUUGAUAGAGCUACAGUUGCAGAAUCAUUCCAAAAUGCA